rnacentral:lncRNA from 1 species
GCGGGAGCCCGGAGCACCUUGACGAGUGAAGGUCGGAUCGAAGUUUCUGUCUGUGGCGCCGGCCUGGGGCCUCGUCUGGGCUGAGCAGGAUUCUCCCAGGCGUGCCCACACAAUGCGGAAGGAGUGUUCAAAGGACCUGAAUAAACAGGCGGUACAUUUCGGGGACAAUGGGCAGCCGCGUCUCCAGGCGGGGAGGGACCUCUGGAAUCCGCGGUCCCGUGCUCCGGGCCCGGGGACUGCGGCGCUUUGUGCGCCGGGUUAAUGAGCUGGAAAAUACAAUUGGGCUUCCCUGGCUGUGAAAAUCGCUUUGGGGGCAACCGAGUCACUUAGCUGCCGGGGGAACCGGGAAUUGAUUUCCUUUGUCCCGAGGACCCAGCGCGUCCUUGCGGAGGCCACGGACUGGGGGCUGGGCCUCCUCCCACGAAGACCCCAAGCAGGACAGGCUUCAGAGAGACUGAACAGGGCCAGGAAUCCCCAGGGAAGGACGAGGUUUUAAAAACAAACAAAACAGCAGACACCCAUUCUCCUACCUCUCUCAUCUUCCAGAGCCUCACCUCUUUUGGACCAGAGGAACGUCCCCUUCCCCUUGUUGAGCCGGCUAUGGAGAGGCCACUGUCCCUGGAGGAUGGCACUGGAGCCCUGGACCAGGCUCCUGUGUAUGGACACUGGGAAGCUGGGCAGGCAGCCCCUGCCCAGGGAAGUCUGCUGGGCCAGCGCUACCCAGGAGGCCCCAGGACUCUGAUGGUCACUUGAGACCUUGCUCCUUGCUUGGCCAAACACCAUAUUCACUGCGUAAUAAAUGGCCCAGGCCCACAGGGCAUGUUGUUUUGG